GACGAACGCUGGCGGCGUGCUUAACACAUGCAAGUCGAACGAAGUGGCGAACGGGUGAGUACUACGUGGGUAACCUGCCCUCAUUUUUGGGAUAAGCCUUGGAAACGGGGUCUAAUACGGACUAAGGUGGGAUGGGCUCGCGGCCUAUCAGCUCGUUGGUGGUGUGCUGGCUGACCAAGGCGGGGACGGGUAGCCGGCCUGAGAGGGUGCCCGGCGACAGUGGGACGGCGAUACGGCCCAGACGCGUAAGGGAGGGGGAAUUGGGGGAUAUUGCCCAAUGGGCGAAAGCGUGAUGCAGCGAGGCUGCGUGGGGGAUGCAGGCUUUCGGGUUGUAAACCUCUUGCGGAAUCGAACGGGUAGGUGGAGAAGAAGCGCCGGCUAACUACGUGCCAGCAGCCGCGGUAAUAC
rnacentral:rRNA from 1 species